rnacentral:rRNA from 1 species
CUACGGGAGGCCGCAGUGAGGAAUAUUGCACAAUGGGGGGAACCCUGAUGCAGCAACGCCGCGUGGAGGAUGACGCAUUUCGGUGUGUAAACUCCUUUUAUAUGUCAAGAAAAUGACGGUAGCAUAUGAAUAAGCACCGGCUAACUCCGUGCCAGCAGCCGCGGUAAUACGGAGGGUGCAAGCGUUACUCGGAAUCACUGGGCGUAAGGGACGCGUAGGCGGGUUGGAAAGUCAGGUGUGAAAUCCUACAGCUUAACUGUAGAACUGCACUUGAAACUUCUAAUCUAGAGUAUGGGAGGGGGAGAUGGAAUUAGUGGUGUAGGGGUAAAAUCCGUAGAUAUCACUAGGAAUACCUAAAGCGAAGGCGAUCUCCUGGAACAUUACUGACGCUAAGGCGUGAAAGCGUGGGGAGCAAACAGGAUUAGAUACCCGAGUAGUC